UUGUCAAAAGUAAUCGCUCCUGACAGUGAAUGCAGUGACGGCAGCACACUUUUGGUGAACUUACCAUGUACAUGCAACAACCGCCGUCUGGCUAGGAUCUGCUCAACAUGCGCUUGGCGAACAAUUAAUUAGGAAACGAAAUUAAGUGAAAUCGCUUGAGGCGAACAUGCCACUGGUUCGAAUGGAAAGCUCCAGCUGCGCUCCGUUGGGACUACAGACACCAAGCAGCAACAUGGAAGCGAUGUUGAAAAGCAAAAAAAAAAAACGUGUGUCCUGCUGUGCUUACAGUGAACGUAAAGAACAACGAUUGGAGUCGCACUUGUGCUAGCUGUAAAAGUCAGACAGCAAUCGAAAACAGGCGAACGACAUCAGCAUUCAACAGCAGCAGUGGCAGUUGGUCGAAUGAGCUUGUAAUUAAGUUCGGUUUCCAGUUGGCGAUUCUACUUGUAAUACAUGCCAAUAUAAAAACAAAAAACAAAAAAACAAAAAAAAAUAUGUUGUAGCCUAAGCCCAGAAAAACCCGCCCAAAACAGCCAGGGAAAUGGCAUUGCAGUUAGAAGAGGAAUAAGCAUUUCAUUUGCUUGUCGACAGCGUACACAGUAGCCCAAGUUUGCUGCAAACAUGCCAGUCACAGUUGCAACAACAGUUCUAUUAGUUUGUCCCCGCCUAUUGAUAAACGCGCAGAAUGCUGUUUGAAUUAGCUGCUUGCCAGCCGCCGCACGUUUCACGAUUGUAGAUCACAGGAAACAUGUUAAUCCAUCUGAGUGCCCUCGAUGGCGAAUGCACGGUAAGCUAGGAAUGUGCCUGUGACUUGACAGUUCAUGACACCGUCCGUGCAAGGCAACAUGACAUUUGACAGUCGAAAUGUCCGCUGGCCGUUGGCCGAUCAGUGUUUCAGGACGAGGGCGCAGCGUCGACAAGUCUGGGAUUUCAAUUGGCAAUUAGAAAUUGGCAUCAGGCGCGAUAUUAGUGCUGAUGUGACACAGCGAGCGGCAGAGUGGCAGUUGCAACAUGCACUUUACAUGCAUUGCGCGAAUUGACAAGAUGGCAAGAUACGCGAGACGCGAUACGCAUCAGCUGAUGAGGCAAUGGGAGCUGUUACAACCCGAGCGCCACAAAUGUCAAAUGCCAGGUGAUGACAGAGCCGAUUCGGAAGAUAACAUAGAAGCACAGCGAUGCGCACUUGUGUAGUUGAGAUUUAAAUGCGAUAAACUGUGAUCGGAUGUGUAAGAAUAUUUGAGAUGCACAUGUGAGCGGAAAUAGAUAUACGUAUACUUGUAUAUGCAAAAAUGAUGUCUUUAUUAAAUGUUUGCUUAUAUUUUGAGAAAUACAAAA